AGAGUUUGAUCCUGGCUCAGGAUGAACGCUGGCGGCGUGCUUAACACAUGCAAGUCGAACGAUGAAGCCCUUCGGGGUGGAUUAGUGGCGAACGGGUGAGUAACACGUGGGCAAUCUGCCCUUCACUCUGGGACAAGCCCUGGAAACGGGGUCUAAUACCGGAUAACACUUCCUGCCGCAUGGUGGGGGGUUAAAAGCUCCGGCGGUGAAGGAUGAGCCCGCGGCCUAUCAGCUUGUUGGUGGGGUGAUGGCCUACCAAGGCGACGACGGGUAGCCGGCCUGAGAGGGCGACCGGCCACACUGGGACUGAGACACGGCCCAGACUCCUACGGGAGGCAGCAGUGGGGAAUAUUGCACAAUGGGCGAAAGCCUGAUGCAGCGACGCCGCGUGAGGGAUGACGGCCUUCGGGUUGUAAACCUCUUUCAGCAGGGAAGAAGCGAAAGUGACGGUACCUGCAGAAGAAGCGCCGGCUAACUACGUGCCAGCAGCCGCGGUAAUACGUAGGGCGCAAGCGUUGUCCGGAAUUAUUGGGCGUAAAGAGCUCGUAGGCGGCUUGUCACGUCGGAUGUGAAAGCCCGGGGCUUAACCCCGGGUCUGCAUUCGAUACGGGCUAGCUAGAGUGUGGUAGGGGAGAUCGGAAUUCCUGGUGUAGCGGUGAAAUGCGCAGAUAUCAGGAGGAACACCGGUGGCGAAGGCGGAUCUCUGGGCCAUUACUGACGCUGAGGAGCGAAAGCGUGGGGAGCGAACAGGAUUAGAUACCCUGGUAGUCCACGCCGUAAACGUUGGGAACUAGGUGUUGGCGACAUUCCACGUCGUCGGUGCCGCAGCUAACGCAUUAAGUUCCCCGCCUGGGGAGUACGGCCGCAAGGCUAAAACUCAAAGGAAUUGACGG
rnacentral:rRNA from 1 species